GGAGAGGUGACCGAGUCGGCCGAAGGUGCUCGCCUGCUAAGCGAGUGUGGGCCUAUAAAGCUCACCCAGGGUUCGAAUCCCUGCCUCUCCG
rnacentral:tRNA from 1 species